UCUCUCUAGAUGAAGCCUCUAGACGGUCUCUAGCCUCCUUGACUGGGGAAAUGGUGAUGCGGUGGAGGAGAAAGGGAAAUGGGUCCUUUGGGGGACGUGGGGAAGCGUUCGUUUCGGGGAGGCUCGCGGUUCCAGCGAAUAGACGGUAACACGGGUCGCGGCUCAGACGCAGCGCGUGUUUGUUUCCUGCUCGUGCCCACAGUCUGAGGUGGGCGUUGUGUGCCCCAUGUGUGGUGCGCCGGGUGGACUAGAGAGUUCUGCUCCACCCAGUCGCUCGGGGGCCCAGGCUGGCGGAGGCCCUGCCGCCGUGAUGUCCAAGGUCCCCCUGGGCGAUGGCCUCGAGCCGGCAGAAAAGAGGAGAGAGAGAGGAGAAACGACAUCAGGCCGGAGGGGACACACAUCACCGUGGGAACUCAGUGCCGCGUGUGGGUGCCAGGGACUCUGGGAACGUGGUCCUUGCCAGGGCAGGUGGCCUGCCGAGUCACAUCCACGUUACAGAUGAGGGAAGAGGCUGCUCGCUAGGCUUCCCGAGCCCAGAGGAGAAAGAGAGUGGUCCGGGAGAAAGAUCCCUCAGGGAAGGGACAUCCCAGGUCCCAGCGGUGAGCUUUCAACCUGUUCCUUCCUACACCUCCCUCCCUCCCCCCGCCUUGGGACACCGGGCCCUCCUGAUAGCUUCCUGGACAGAGAUGAAGGGGUCAAGGGUACCUUCAGUGCAAGCAGGCCAAAGUCCCGCGUUGAGGACCCGGUGACCGAUGGAGGCGUGCAGUGCCUCUGUGUUUCCUGCCUCCCUGUUUGCGGUGCUCGAGCGACUGGUGUGCCAACACGGGAGCGGACUGAGGCUCAUCCGCCCGCCUGUACCUGCCCGUUGCUCCUGGGCGAGAGCUCCGCCGACGGAGAGAGAGAGACACUUCCGUCUCGCCUGUUAGAUGUUUCCUGAGCACGUGCUAUGUGCCCAGGCAAUAUGCGGCAAUGGCCGUAGCCCGGCGAGGAGCCCAUCGGGAGCCAGGCCGCCAGGGUGCGCUUCCUGGCUUGGCUCUUCCAGCUCUGUGACCUUGGGCAGGUCGCUUAACCUCUCUGCGCCUGACUUUCCUCAUUGGUAAGGCGGGGAUGGUAAUAGUCCCCAUCUCGGGCUGGUGCUGUGAGCAGAGUAAGAGAUGGUCUAAGGUGCUUGGCAUGGUGCCUGGUGCUCGGUAAACGGGAGCCGUAACUUGAGGUCAUCGGAAAGACAGGUGUGGUUUAGCUCAGAAGCCCCGAUUUGUCUGCACUGCCACCUAAGGAGUCCCUUACCCGCUUUCUCCUGAUAAUAAGCUUUUUUUUUUUUUUUUUAAUGCUUAAGAAGUCUGGCUACAGCCAACGCUGUGAUGGGCAGAGUAGAUGCAAACACCCUCCGCCCACCGGGGGACGGGCUGUGGAGGGUCCCCUGUGCCCACAACGAUGUGCCCACGGCCACUCCCCUCUGACUUGAAGCUGAAGUCAGACCAGUGCCUCAUUCAUCCUCUCCGUAGCAGCCACUUAAUCCUCACCCCUGUUUUAUACGGGCGCAAUCAUCCGUGCGGCGUGUCCAGCCUCGUGGUAGAUUCCGGGCAAGCGAAUGCGCAGAUGUGGACCCCGCCUUUACGAAGCUCACAGGAAAAACCAAAAUGCCCUGUAGGAGAAUGAAGAGAAGGAAAGAUCAAUCCACAAAAUCCCUGCAAGGAGCCACAGACCUGGAUGCAAUUGUGUAUCAUAACAUGGUUUUUACACCAGAAAUCGGCAAACAGCCUUCACGUCCCACAUGGCUCCCCCCAAAUCCGUAAGUUGAAGGCCUCACCCCCAGUGUGGUAUUUGCACAGGCGGCUUUUGGUAGGUAAUCGGGGUUAGAUGAAUCAUGAGGGUAGAGACAUCAGAGAACUAACGGUCUGGGUCUCUCUCUGUCUCUCCCUCCUUCUCUCUCUCUGAGCCACAUGCACAGUAAGAAGACGGCUGUGUGUGAGCCAGGAGGAGGGUCCGCACCUGAACUGAUGCCAUGAUCCAGGACUUACAGUCUCCAGAACUGUGAGAAAAUAAAUCUCUGUUGUUUAAGGCCCUCGGCCCAGGAUAUUUUUGUUAUGGCAGCCAAGCUAAGACAGGGAGCAGCCGGGCAAUAGCGCAGCUGGGGCGGGUGGUGCCCCAACGACCCCCAGGUCUUUCUGCCCUCAGGCCACCUGCCCACUGCAGAGCCUUUCAUCCCUACUCUGCCACACGAGGGCACGGGAGUCUGCAAAAGGGCAUCGCGCCCAAGUACGGCUGCUUUCCCCGUGUGAGCGUGUGGAAACGCGUGUGUGUGUGUCACAAGGCUGGUUGCUCACCGCAACCCUGUGAAAUAGCAAAACACACCCUCUUUUGUUUCCCGUCCUGCUGGUAGCCCCUCUCAGCCUCUGGUGCAGGGUCCUGAGGCUUCUCCCUUCUCCGUCCACACUCAUUCCCUGGGGACGCUCUAGACGCUGGCAGACUUGUCAUUUCUAAGCCCGAUCCUCUCAAACUCCGGGAUCAUGUGUCCCAAGGCCCACGGGACGUCCUCACACAGACUCGGACAGACAGCUCCCACUCGGCAUGGCCGGGACCAAACUCCCGACGACGGCCACACCGCCUGCAGCUGCCCCUUCCCAGCCCUCCCCCCGCAGUGGGUGCCAGGUCUAUCCCUCCAGGGGCUCAUCCCCACCCCCCCACCCCCUGGACCUUGGAUUUCUAGACUCCUCACUUUUCUUGCUGCCCCCCUUCUGGCCCAUCUGCAAAUCCUAUUGGCUGUACUCUCAGGCUAUGUCCAGAAUCUGACUGCUUCUCACCUCCUCCACUGCCAGCACCGAUCAUCCACCACCUCCCGGACAGCAGCAGCCUCCUCGCUGCUCUCCCUGUGAUUGACUCCCCCCAGCAGCCAGAGAGAUGAGACCAUGGGCCUGCCCUGCUCAAAAUGUCCCCCUGUCUCCCCAAGUCACUUGGGGUAGAAGCCAAAGUCCUCACAACACCCGCAAGGCUCUCUGUGCUCCACACCGGCCUCUUAUCACUGCCCUCCAGCCCUCCUCCCAUUUUGCUGCCUUCCAGCCGCACGGGUCUCCUUGCCCUUUCUUGAACCCUCCAGGCACGUCCCUGCCUCAGGGCCUUUGCACUAGCUGCACUGGCUGGUCCCUCAACCUGGAAUGUUCUCCCCCCAGGUAUUCUCAUUGUCACCUCCCUCCAGUCGGCUGAGAUGUCACCUCCUCCGAUCACCGUUUUGGAAACUGCAAUCUACCCCUUGCCCUGCCCUAUUGUUUCAUUUCUCC